rnacentral:rRNA from 1 species
GAUGAACGCUGGCGGCGUGCUUAACACAUGCAAGUCGAACGAAGAAGCGCAGCUUGCGGGGUGGAGUAGUGGGGAACGGGUGGGUAAGAAGUGAGUAAACUGCCCUUCAAUAUGGGAUAGGCCUGGUAAACUGGGUGGAGUAAAGGCUAGGUGAGUUUACCGAAUGGUGGGUGUUGGAGAGAUUUAGCGUUUUUGGAUGGAUUAGAGGCGGAUCAGCUUCUUGGUGAGGUGUUGGUAAACUAAGGCGUCGACAGGUCGACGGCCUGAGAGGGUGACCGGCGUCACGGGGACUGAGACACGGCCCAGUCUCCUACCUGAGGCAGUAGUGGAGAAUAUUGCACAAUGGCCGCAAGCCUGAUGCAGCGAUGUCGCGUGAGUGAUGCCCUCCUUCGGGUUGUAAACCUCUUUCAGUAGGGAAGAAGCCAAAGUGACGGUACCUGCACAAGAAGCACCGGCUAACUACGUG